GACGAACGCUGGCGGCGUGCUUAACACAUGCAAGUCGAACGGAAAGGCCCUGCUUUUGUGGGGUGCUCGAGUGGCGAACGGGUGAGUAACACGUGAGUAACCUGCCCUUGACUUUGGGAUAACUUCAGGAAACUGGGGCUAAUACCGGAUAGGAGCUCCUGCUGCAUGGUGGGGGUUGGAAAGUUUCGGCGGUUGGGGAUGGACUCGCGGCUUAUCAGCUUGUUGGUGGGGUAGUGGCUUACCAAGGCUUUGACGGGUAGCCGGCCUGAGAGGGUGACCGGCCAAAUUGGGACUGAGAUACGGCCCAGACUCCUACGGGAGGCAGCAGUGGGGAAUAUUGCACAAUGGGCGGAAGCCUGAUGCAGCAACGCCGCGGGCGGGAUGACGGCCUUCGGGGUGGAAACCGCUUUCGCCUGUGACGAAGCGUGAGUGGCGGUAAUGGGUAAAGAAGCACCGGCUAACUACGUU
rnacentral:rRNA from 1 species